GCCGGGCACAGUGGGGCAUGCCUGUAAUCCUCACAGCUUGGGAGGCUGAGGCAGGAGAAUUGCAAGUUCAAAGCCAGCCUCAGCAACUUAGCAAGACCCUAAGCAACUCAGUGAGACCCUGCCUCUA
rnacentral:sRNA from 1 species